rnacentral:rRNA from 1 species
CCAACGGGAGGCAGCAGUCGGGAAUAUUGCACAAUGGGCGCAAGCCUGAUCCAGCCAUGCCGCGUGAGUGAUGAAGGCCUUAGGGUUGUAAAGGUCUUUCGUCCGGGACGAUAAUGACGGUACCGGAAGAUGAAGCCCCGGCUAACUUCGUGGCAGCCGCCGCAGAAAC